GCGGAUUCUAUUGCUGACGACACACCAUCGGUUUUGGGUUACACAUGGACAAAGGAGCUGGAAAUUAGCUUCAGGAUACAGAGAAGAAACUCGAAAAACAGCCGGGACAGAACGGUGAAAUGAGCACUGAAGACGUGCAUCUGGCUCUCGGCUGUUGCAGGAUGCAGGGGCAGCCUCCUCCUCACGGCAUAACUCGUUGGCGCUGAACUCUGGCUCAUACCACAAACCGCUGUCUUCUGAAUAAUCCAUAAGAGGACUUCCGGCCAUUGAAUAUUAGUGCUGUACACGUAUGCGAAGAAAACAAUGGCCUUGUGCUCCAGCGGCCUGGCUCCGCCCCCCUCUCAGCCUGGCUCCGCUAUCCUCUCAGUCUGACCGUUAGUGAGGCAGGGAUCCAGGGAUCUACCCAUCAACCAUGACAGGGGCUUGAACCACCAACCUUAUGGUUAGAGGAUGACCUACCUACCAACUGUACUAUUGUCAACAAAAGUAGUUUUGGGAAUCAGACAUUGCUUUUGGAUGUGUUUCAAAGGAAUCAUAAUCAGUCAAUAAACAAACUUAUCAAACAGACCUGAAGAAAAAUGACAAGCUGUUUCAGUUGUCUCAGAUUUGAAGCUGCCGUCUGGAGACGGCAUGUUUCAGCUCCUUCUACAGAUUUGUAAUAGGACGUAGAUUGGGCCACACAGAAGAGGCCAGAUUACAUUGUAACCUGCAAGUCAAGGGAGUCAAGACACCCUGUUGGUUGUAUCAUCUUCAGUGCAUAAUGACUUUCUCGCCCCAUACAUUACAUUUACAAACUCUUCCUGAAAAAGCUAAACCGUCAAUCACAAUACAGCAUCCAGCCCAGUACAUGCGGCAUACAACACUGCUGGACAGAACACAGAAAAACAGUUAAAUCUAACUUGAACUUGCGUGUAGGCAUUUUAUUUUCACAGUA